GACGAACGCUGGCGGCGUGCUUAACACAUGCAAGUCGAACGAGGUCCAUGCAGUCGCAAGACUGCGGAAGACCUAGUGGCGAACGGGUGCGUAACACGUGAGAAACCUGUCCCGGUCUCUGGAAUAACAAGUGGAAACACUUGCUAAUACCGGAUGCCGUCGGACCACCGCAUGGUGGACUGACGAAAGGGCUACCGGAUCGGGAGGGUCUCGCGGCCUAUCAGCUUGUUGGUGAGGUAACGGCUCACCAAGGCAUCGACGGGUAGCUGGUCUGAGAGGAUGAUCAGCCACACUGGGACUGAGACACGGCCCAGACUCCUACGGGUGGCAG
rnacentral:rRNA from 1 species